rnacentral:misc_RNA from 1 species
UACAGAGGCCUCAAGCGUUACCCGGAAUCACUGGGCGUAAAGGGUGUGUAGGUGGUUAUGUUAGUCGCUUGUUAAAGCACGGGGCUUAACUCCGUGUCUGCAGGCGAAACGGCAUGACUAGAGGGUGCGAGAGGUGAAUGGAACUCAUGGUGUAGGGGUGAAAUCCGUUGAUAUCAUGGGGAACACCGAAAGCGAAGGCAAUUCACUGGCGCAUUCCUGACACUGAGACACGAAAGCGUGGGUAGCGAAUGGG